rnacentral:rRNA from 1 species
UACGUAGGUGGCAAGCGUUAUCCGGAAUUAUUGGGCGUAAAGCGCGCGCAGGCGGUUUUUUAAGUCUGAUGUGAAAGCCCACGGCUCAACCGUGGAGGGUCAUUGGAAACUGGGGGACUUGAGUACAGAAGAGAAGAGUGGAAUUCCACGUGUAGCGGUGAAAUGCGUAGAGAUGUGGAGGAACACCAGUGGCGAAGGCGACUCUUUGGUCUGUAACUGACGCUGAGGCGCGAAAGCGUGGGGAGCAAACAGG